rnacentral:snRNA from 1 species
AUACUCUGGUUUCUCUUCAAAUUGUAUAAAUCUUUUGCCUUUUACUAGAGAUUACCAAAAAGAGGAAUAGUUAUGAGGGUUUUUUUAGGGUUUUAAAAAAUAUAUAUGAUGUAUACA